rnacentral:rRNA from 1 species
UCAGGAUGAACGCUGGCGGCGUGCUUAACACAUGCAAGUCGAACGAUGAUGGNANCUUGNNCNUGGAUUAGUGGCGAACGGGUGAGUAACACGUGAGUAACCUGCCCUUGACUCUGGGAUAAGCCUGGGAAACUGGGUCUAAUACCGGAUAUGACCUUCCAUCGCAUGGUGGUUGGUGGAAAGCUUUUGUGGUUUUGGAUGGACUCGCGGCCUAUCAGCUUGUUGGUGGGGUAAUGGCCUACCAAGGCGACGACGGGUAGCCGGCCUGAGAGGGUGACCGGCCACACUGGGACUGAGACACGGCCCAGACUCCUACGGGAGGCAGCAGUGGGGAAUAUUGCACAAUGGGCGCAAGCCUGAUGCAGCGACGCCGCGUGAGGGAUGACGGCCUUCGGGUUGUAAACCUCUUUCAGUAGGGAAGAAGCGUAAGUGACGGUACCUGCAG